GUUCCCAACAAAUCACUGUUUACCACUGUUUCCAGCAACUAACCACCGUUCACCACUGUUACCAACAACUAACCACCGUUCCCAGCAACGAAUCACUGUUCACCACCGUUCCCAGCAACGAAUCACUGUUCACAACUAACCACCGUUCCCAACAACUCGUCACUAACUACAACUGUUCCCAACACAUCUAAUCCUUGUCCUUGAAUUUUCCCAAAAAGUAAACCUUUGUACCCACUUUCUAAUCAGACAUAUUACUGAAAACACCAUUUCUAUUCUUUUUCCGUCGUCUUCAAAAAUAACUAUUCGUAGUUUAUGCAAUAUUUCUGACACUCAAACGGUUACGACACAUGAACGGAUCUGCAAACUGCCAUCAGCAGCCGAAUUCGUACUUUACUAUACUUUCUGAGCGUGCGUUAGCUGCAAAAUAAACGCUUGUCCGACGCUGAAUGUGAACAGAGUCAUGAAUUACCUCGCCAUGAAUCUGGAGGCUAAGCGGCGAGAAGCCCCGCAGAUCCAUUACGCCGCUUAAUGCGGUCCGCGGAAUCUUAAAGUUCAGGAAUAAUGGAGUAAAUGUCAUAACACGAGCCGCAGCCUCCCCGGGAUCGAGCCGGGUUUCCGAGCAAAACUUAUUAGAACAUCCACUACAGUCUCUGUAUAAUCCAAUGAUAAUGUCAGUGUCUGUGCGGAUACUGAAAUCGGCGCACGACAGCCGAUUGCUCAGCCUUAAUAACUUCAUAUGAAAUCACUAAGGCAGGGAAACUUUCAUCAGACGAGUCCGCCGAUGACAUUUAAAACUCGCACCCGAGCAAGUGAAAGGGGCAGAAAGGUUAAGCUGUAUUAAGACCAACAGAAUCCCACCAAAACCCCCCGAACAUCAUGACGCAGCCUCGGCUCUGCUCCUGGAGUGGGUGUAGAUCCUGGAGCUUUGCAUAGUUUUAGAGCUUUAUUACUCCGAAUUUGCUCUCAAACUACAGGAUUUGAGCUCGAGAAAAAGCCAAAAAAUGGGAUAUCCUGAUUAUCCAAGUAAAUCACAGUAUUGGUAAAUCAUAAAGUGGAAAAAUUAGCUUUGUACAGGGGGGAUACAAAUACAAAUAUGCAACAUCGCAUUGACCUGAUGAUUUUUUGCUUUUAGCAAAUUUAUGAUAUAAAGUCACUUUCCGGUCCAACUCACCCCAAACCCAAUUGGACUUAAAUACUGCAUUAGAUUAAUGUAGCAUGAUCCUUACUGGACAGAUAGCUCUUACAGAACCUAGAGGUGUGUUUUGGGGGUCAUUGUCCUGUUCGGGAAAAAUGUCACCAGCAAAGCGUCUCCACAGGAUCACAGCUCCUCCUCACCACACCUUCAGAAACCGUCCGUUUACCCUCCGUAUGUUUAAAACCCAUCAGACAAAAGGACAGUUUUCCACUUAUCUAAUGUCCAUUCCUUGUGUUUCUUGGCCCAAGUAAGUUCCUCUGCUUGUUGCUGCUGUUUUUCCCAAAUGUAAUAUAUCAAUAAAUUGCUCUACUUCCUGACUUAUCGCCUUGUAACUAUGUUCAGGUUAAUGCUGAAUUAUACAAUCGUAUGUUGCUUAUGAUCUGUAUAAUCAUGCAUCUGAUUUUAGCUACAUUUCUUCCAACUCAUGCAGACUCCUCUGAACUCAGACGCAUUCCUGUUAAAUAAACUAUCUUCUGCAGCAGAGGUAGCUCUUGGUCUUCCUUUUCCUAUUCUUAAUGUUAUCGAAAUGUUGCAUAUUGACUGAUCUUCGUUUCUUAGUGUUGGAUCGUCUUUCUCUUUACAUGCCGUGAUGUUGAUCGUACAGUAGUUGUAGCACUAAUUGCCCUACUGAAUCUGUAGCCACCUCUCCUGCGUUCGAGUCUAUAAAGAAACUGAUACUUUUAUUAGUGAAAGCGGCUGGAACUUCCAGUAUGUUAUUUUUUUUUACUCUGACUUCUUGAACAAGCAAAUGUUACAAAGGUUUCUUUAAUUGAACACUGGAAAAACCAUCUGCUGAUGUCAUUUCUUCGCCACAAGAGCAUGACUCAGCCCUGUUUGUUUUGGGACUGUAAGCCUAGCAGAUUUUUUUCAGCAGAUGAAGAAGAGGCCGAGGCUGCUGCCGGCUCAGGGAGUUUCGUGCCUCGCUCGUAUGCCACAGGAGGCCAGUCGAGACGUGAGCUCGAGUCACAGUACGGGUUUUUUAUAGAAGUAGGUCCUGGUAAAUAUGGAGGUUGAUUGAACAGCCUUGAACUUCUUAUCUGUUCCUGAACUAUUGUGUUGCAAUGUGGAUGUGCACAGAUCCUGCUGCAACAGGGCCUUCAGGAGGUGUAACAUUGAAAUAACUUCCACAGGACCCAAGUGUUCUCCGGCAGAACAUCACCGGGAUCUGAUUGAAAGACCUGAGGAGAAUUCAGUUUAACAUCAAGCCACAUCACACACCAGGACUUCAAAUGGGGUCAUUAGGAGUGAUGUAGGUCACAUUCAUUACAUUAAGAUCAGCGUCUUCUUGAAGGAUGAACACAGCAGGUUAAAAGGAGAAACACACUGACCCCCACUAAAGAAAAGAGUACAGAUGGAAAGGGGAAAAAGGAGGAGGAGGAGGAGGACAGGAGUCAGACGGCGUCCGGCUUCUUCUUCCU